rnacentral:rRNA from 1 species
UCAAGCAAUAAGGGCACAGGGCGGAUGCCUUGGCACUAAGAGCCGAUGAAAGACGUGAUAAGCUGCGAUAAGCUUCGGGGAGGAGCAAAUAUCCCGUGAUCCGGAGAUGUCUGAAUGGGGAAACCCACAUGAGCAAACCUCAUGUAUCCUACAGCCAAUACAUAACUGUAGGAAGGGAACCCGGGGAACUGAAACAUCUAAGUACCCGGAGGAAAAGAAAGAAAACUCGAUUCCGUAAGUAGCGGCGAGCGAACGCGGAGGAGCCUAAACCGGAAUGCGUGCAUUCCGGGGUUACGGACUGCAUUUAGGAUUCAGUGAUGUUAACAGAACGGUUUUGGGAAAGCCGGCCACAGAGGGUGAAAGCCCCGUACGUGAAAACAGAGCUGACUGAGCAGGAUCCAGAGUACCACGAGACACGUGGAACCUUGUGGGAAAUCAGGGGGACCACCCCCUAAGGCUAAAUACUACUUAGUGACCGAUAGCGCAUAGUACUGUGAAGGAAAGGUGAAAAGGACCCCGGGAGGGGAGUGAAAGAGAACCUGAAACCCUGUGUUUACAAGCUGUCGAAGCACUAUAUAUGUGCGACGGCGUACUUUUUGUAGAACGGUCCGGCGAGUUAUGGCAUGUGGUAAGGUUAAGUACUUCAGGUACGGAGCCGAAGCGAAAGCGAGUGUGAAAAGCACGUUUUAAUCGCCUGUCAUAUACCCGAAACCGGGUGAUCUAUCCAUGUCCAGGAUGAAGUUGCCGUAAAAGGCAAUGGAGGUCCGAACACACAUCCGUUGAAAAGGGUGGUGAUGAGGUGUGGAUAGGGGAGAAAUUCCAAUCGAACCCGGAGAUAGCUGGUUCUCCUCGAAAUAGCUUUAGGGCUAGCCUCGUUUUAGUCUUAUGGAGGUAGAGCACUGAAUUUCCGCGGGGGCGUCAAAGCUUACCAAAGAAUAUCAAACUCCGAAUGCCAUGUAGAUGAUGAAAGGGAGUCAGACUGCACGAGAUAAGUUGGGUGGUCAAAAGGGAAAGAGCCCAGACCUACAGCUAAGGUCCCAAAGUGCGUGUUAAGUGGAAAAGGAUGUGGGAUUUCGAAGACAACUAGGAUGUUGGCUCAGAAGCAGCCACACAUUAAAAGAGUGCGUAAUAGCUCACUAGUCGAGAGGUCCUGCGCCGAAAAUGUCCGGGGCUGAAACACGACACCGAAGCUUGGGAAUCCUACGGGAUUGGUAGAGGAGCAUUGAAGACGGGACGAAGCGUAACCGUAAGGAUACGUGGACUGUCUUGAAGAGAGAAUGCCGGAAUGAGUAGCGAGAAUGAAGUGAGAAUCUUCAUGGCCGAAUAUCUAAGGUUUCCAGGGUAAAGCUGAUCUGCCCUGGGUAAGUCGGGACCUAAGGCGAGGUCGAAAGACGUAGCCGAUGGACAACAGGUUGAAAUUCCUGUACUGCAUUAAAUCAGAACUGUGGGGACACAGAAGGAAGGCAUGAGCCGGAAAAGGAAAAUCCGGUGCAAGCAUGGGAGGGGUAUGACAGGCAAAACCGUCAUGCAACCCGAGAAUGUGACGCGGAGCGAACAAAAGUAGCGAAGCAUGCUUACCGGCUGUCGAGAAAAGCCGCUAUUGCGUUUAAUGCACCCGUACCGUAAACCGACACAGGUGGAUGAGGAGAGAAUCCUAAGGCCGGCGGGAGAAGCAUUGUUAAGGAACUCGGCAAAAUGACCCCGUAACUUCGGGAGAAGGGGUGCUCUUAGAAAUAAGAGCCGCAGAGAAUUGGCCCAAGCAACUGUUUAGCAAAAACACAGGUCUAUGCAAAACCGAAAGGUGAGGUAUAUGGGCUGACGCCUGCCCGGUGCUGGAAGGUUAAGAGGAGAGGUCAGAGCAAUCGAAGCCUUGAAUUUAAGCCCCAGUAAACGGCGGCCGUAACUAUAACGGUCCUAAGGUAGCGAAAUUCCUUGUCGGGUAAGUUC